CCUACUUCUCAGUCUUAGAAGAUUGCCUUAGACGAUUGAAAAUCUUGGAUUCUAUCAUCUUAAGGAAUCUCAAACUGGAUCAUUCAGGUGAGAACAUCAUGGCUUAGAGAGGUCAAAUCACAUGCCCCAGGUUAUGUGCACUUCACGACAGACCCAGGACAUGUUCCCAGGCCCCUCUGCCAUCCGAAUUUGUGUUCUUAACUGGCAACCUGCCACCAAGAAACCUCACCCUGUUCCCAAGGAGCCACUAGACUCCAGCAGAUGGAAGCAACUUAAAUAAAUUAAACCCAAGAAAUGUCCCGUCCGUGUUCUGCUCAAACUGCUGUGAAUUGCCUCAUGACUGACUGGAAAGCCACCAGGCUCACAAGUGAGUUACAGACUUGUUGAAGGGGCUGGUAAAUCAAGUGAUGGGGAGAAAAGGAGGAAUGUGUUCAGGGUCGUAAAGAAGAGGAGGAGAAAAAAGCAAAAAUCUCUAAAGACUUGUGACAUCUCAAGCUAGCCAUAAAAGGUAAAGCAGGACAUUGGCCUGGCAAGCACAGUCUGUAGCCCUAACCAUGGCUCUGCCGCUGGUUCCCUAGGAAUAGUCUGGUUGCGAGAACUCCAAGAACAUCCUGUUCUGCCUGCCCACGGAGAGACAGGGAGCAAAUCUGAGGCUUACCAAGUGCUGCUGAAGGGCGUAGGGAGUCGGCUUCCUGCUGGGCUCAGAGACUCCUGCAGAACUGCCUCUAGAACCUUCCUCAUCCCCAGCCUGCCCUGCUUGCUACCCGUCCUCAUGGUGGAACUUGCUGUUCCUAUAACAACACUCCUUCUACCCCACCCUCCCCUAGCUCGCCUCCAUCCCCGUGACCUGAUGCAAAGGCAACUUCUCAGGCAUCCAGAUCAGAUGUGGAGGGCUUUGCAGUCCCUCUGCAACUUAAGAGCACAAGCUUUGGAAUCAACAGACCUGAACACUUGCUGUUUAGUCAAGCCAUGAAUCUCACAGUACCUCAGUUUCCUCAUCUGAAAAUAGGAUGAGGAGUGAUACCUAUCACACAGGGUGUUUUUCAGGAAUAAGUGAGAAAAUGUUUGUAAGGAACACACAGUUCCUAGUCCACAGAAAGAGGUAGCUUAUAACUCUCUUUGUACUUCUGCUUCUAAGUAUCAGGUUCCCAAGCACCACCUCAACACCUUAGUUUCUCUAAUGCCAUAUCAAGUCAAAGAAUCUUACAACUGGAAGAGACUAGAAGUCACCUGGAAUAAGUAUUUUUUUCUUUAUGUAGUUUUCAUACAUCUAAGAAAUAUCAGUAAAGUACUUAGUAAAACCA